AGCGAACGCUGGCGGCAGGCCUAAUACAUGCAAGUCGAACGGUCUCUUCGGAGGCAGUGGCGGACGGGUGAGUAACGCGUGGGAACGUGCCCUUUGGUACGGAACAACUGAGGGAAACUUCAGCUAAUACCGUAUGUGCCCUUCGGGGAAAGAUUUAUCGCCAUUGGAGCGGCCCGCGUUGGAUUAGCUAGUUGGUGGGGUAAUGGCCCACCAAGGCGACGAUCCAUAGCUGGUCUGAGAGGAUGAUCAGCCACACUGGGACUGAGACACGGCCCAGACUCCUACGGGAGGCAGCAGUAGGGAAUCUUGCGCAAUGGGCGAAAGCCUGACGCAGCCAUGCCGCGUGAAUGAUGAAGGUUUUAGGAUUGUAAAAAUUCUUUCACCGGGGACGAUAAUGACGGUACCCGGAGAAGAAGCCCCGGCUAACUUCGUGCCAGCAGCCGCAGUAAU
rnacentral:rRNA from 1 species